CUGGAAGUCCGGUAACGGAUGCAGGUGACUGGUACUAAUAGGCCGAGGACUUACCACAA
rnacentral:rRNA from 1 species